AACCUGCACAGCAUGUUAUUGUACUGAACAAUGUAGGCAAUGUAACGCAAUGAUAUUUGUGUAUCUAAACAUACCUAAAUGCAGAAAUGCUGCAGUAGAUAUACAACAUAAAAGAUUGUUUUUAAGUCCACCUGUAGAAGGCACUUACCAUGAAUUGAACUUGCAGGCUUGGAAAUAUCUCUGGGUUCUGCUUGAAUUCUUGCCCUGGCUCUUGGUGAAGGAUCGGCCUGCUGGAUCUGAGUCAUCCACCUAUAAGAGGGACAACACCACACAUUGGUCGCUGCUCUCAAGCCCCUGGAAUACCACCCCACUUGGCUUCUCCUGGUAACAGUGGCUGCCUUUGCUUGCCUGUCUCCAACUCCUCCCAAGAGCAUUGCUGACUAGAUGGGCUCUCACUAUAGCCCUGUUCUGGAACUCCUGGGCUCAAGCCAUCCUCCCACUUUGGCCUCCCCAAAAUGCUGGGAUUACAGGCGUGAACCACCGCAUCUAGCCUAAAAUUAUAUUGUUAAAAGACUUUGUUUCUCAGUUUGGGAUAAUCAGAAUUCAUAGUUCUGAUCUCGACUACCAGUUUUAAUGAGGUACUUCUUUCUAACUCCAUCAGCUGUGUGGCUAUCUGCAGAUUCUGCUAUCAGCUACAGGUCUGGGUUUGUGUCUCCGACAAAGAACCACCUCAAAGCCCCACAGAAAAGGACUGUACCGUAUACUUCAAACUAUUGACACCUCAAAGAACAGAGCUUGGGUUCAGGCUUCUGAUGCAUUCUGAGACACUCUCAGACCAUACCAGUGGGCUGGGUCAGGAUUUACAGAACUAUUUUCAUUUCAAGAGCAUACGGGCUCAUGAGAUUGCUAACUCAAGAUCCGGUGGAACAGAAAUACUUAUAUCGGACUGAAUAAACUGAUGAGGA
rnacentral:lncRNA from 1 species